rnacentral:piRNA from 1 species
CCAUUUACCAUGUACUCAGUCUAGAC